rnacentral:rRNA from 1 species
CCCACCCGUGAUUAUUGUACCUCCUGUUGCUUCGGCGCGGCCCCCUGGGGCCCGCCGGAGACAUCUUCUCGAACGCUGUCUUUGAAAAGGAUUGCUGUCUGAGUAAACAUACCAAAUCGGUUAAAACUUUCAACAACGGAUCUCUUGGUUCCGGCAUCGAUGAAGAACGCAGCGAAAUGCGAUAAGUAAUGUGAAUUGCAGAAUUCAGUGAAUCAUCGAAUCUUUGAACGCACAUUGCGCCCCCUGGUAUUCCGGGGGGCAUGCCUGUCCGAGCGUCAUUACUGCCCCUCAAGCGCGGCUUGUGUGUUGGGCCGCCGUCCCCUGCGCCUCCGGGCAACGGGGACGGGCCCGAAAGGCAGUGGCGGCGCCGCGUCCGGUCCUCGAGCGUAUGGGGCUUUGUCACCCGCUCAGUAGGUCGGGCCGGGGCCUUUGCCCUCUCCAACCUUUUUUUCCUUAGGUUGACCUCGGAUCAGGUAGGGAUACCCGCUGAACUUAAGCAUAUCAAUAAGCGGAGGG